AAGGGAGACGCAUCAUAGUAGCUCUCUUCUUCUAAGGGAUUCAGAAUCACUGAUGUGAUGUCAUGAAAGAGUUCUUUGUAAACUGUAGAGUGCCGUGCACAUAUGAGGGCUCCUCCAAUGGCUUGUGUAGUGGAGAGAACCUGCCCCAGAAGUCCUGCUGGGACAAGCUUCCCAAAGAAGAGAGAUGGGACUGAGAAGCAAAGGACCCCAGGAAGCUGGUGGGGACCUUCAUCCACAAGGCUUUGUUCUGGGGAGUCAUACUAUCCGGAAUCGAGGUCUGUCUGUCUCCCUGCCUCGUGACCCUGGGGCACUUUCAUGGGCCAGUGGCCUUGGAAGCCUCUCCAGGACAUCACCAGGUGGGCCUGUGUCUUUCUCUGGCCCAGAGGAGAACACCAUUAGCCUCCCACAUAGCUGGGAGCACAGAUGUGCACCACCAUGCCCAGCAAAGAUCCUGCCUGCCUGGAAAGCCAACUCAGCAGCAGGCUCAGUGCCCUCCCUAGUCUCCCCAGAUGCUGGACAGCAAGCCCUGUGAGGAGGGACCCUGCCUGUGUUGGUCGUUACUUUUUCUCUGGUACCAGACACCAGGCCUGGCACAUACUGUGCACUCAGUUGUUGAAUUAAUGACUCACAGAAUGAAAUAGCAAAUGGCCAUUGAACUGAACUGAGUGUUCUUCUCACAAAACCCCUCUAUUCUGCAAGGAAUAUGACUUCCAAAUGGCAGGGGAGAAAACUGAGUCCCAAACUUCAGAACAGCGCUUAGGGCUGCACAGAUUGCUGAGCUCAGAGAAGGCCCUCAGCCCAGUGCUUUCCCAGCCACCUCGUCUUUCUUAGUUGGGAGUUGAGGCUGGGCUCAGAGAUCCCUGGAGUUCUCUGUGUGCGUCUUUCAUUCACCCUUUCUUCUAUCACAGAGGCUAUGAGGGACAAAGUGACCUUCCAGGGACAUUUCCAG